GCUCUGUGUUCCGUCAUUUGAGCCUGCAGUCGAGGUGGAGAGUGUUGGUCUGCGUCUGGCUUGAUGUUGACGCUUCAACAGCGUUCUUUUUGACGAGGAUGACACACACAACAGUUUGUCUCCAGCACAGUCAAGGUUCCCAUCAGCCACAGAGAAUGAGCUUAACAAGGACAACACUGUGCGGAAGGUGCUCUGCUGCAUCAGGAUGCAAGAUGGGGUGAAUUCCUCAAGAACUAAAAUCUGCAGUCGUUGCAGAGAAUGGCCUUCAGUAGAAGUCAUGAAGUUGUUCAGCCGUGUUAGCAUGCUGGGUUCAGGGAGUUCUGGACAGAGAGGAGCAGAUGUGGAUCAGCAUCACUGCACCUGAUUCUGGGAUGAACGUCUUCAGUUAUGCCCACCAGCUGUAAACCUGUUGCGUCACCAAAGCUGCUCCCGGCUGAAUGGAUGUUUCUGUAAAGGAUCAACCUGCAGACUCUCCAGCACCAGUGUUGGUGGUCAGAGUUCCUGAAGCUGGGAGAUAAUUGCCACGGAUACAAGGCUAAUCUGUGGAUUCUCCAGGCUGUUAAAGCUGGCUGGACGUCAACGGUGGACCUGCAAUCAAACAUAAGUCAGCUGUGUAGGGUGGUUUUGUUUUGUUUUUUCCCUGUAGGUUGAAGUUUGAAAGAUGGCUGUCAUCCAAUCUUAAAAAUAAAAUGAAUCUUAAACAGAAAA